CAGUCGCCGCGGUAAUACGUAGGGUGCAAGCGUUAAUCGGAAUUACUGGGCGUAAAGCGUGCGCAGGCGGUUGUGUAAGACAGGUGUGAAAUCCCCGGGCUCAACCUGGGAACUGCAUUUGUGACUGUAGAGCUGGAGUGCGGCAGAGGGGGAUGGAAUUCCGCGUGUAGCAGUGAAAUGCGUAGAUAUGCGGAGGAGCACCGAUGGCGAAGGCAAUCCCCUGGGCCUGCACUGACGCUCAUGCACGAAAGCGUGGGGAGCAAACAGGAUUAGAUACCCCGGUAGUCCCUGUCUCUUAUAC
rnacentral:rRNA from 1 species